rnacentral:rRNA from 1 species
UACUCGAGUGGCGAACGGGUGAGUAACACGUGGGUGAUCUGCCCUGAACUCUGGGAUAAGCCUGGGAAACUGGGUCUAAUACCGGAUAUGACCUUACAUCGCAUGGUGUUUGGUGGAAAGCUUUUGCGGUUCAGGAUGGGCCCGCGGCCUAUCAGCUUGUUGGUGGGGUAAUGGCCUACCAAGGCGACGACGGGUAGCCGACCUGAGAGGGUGAUCGGCCACACUGGGACUGAGACACGGCCCAGACUCCUACGGGAGGCAGCAGUGGGGAAUAUUGCACAAUGGGCGCAAGCCUGAUGCAGCGACGCCGCGUGAGGGAUGACGGCCUUCGGGUUGUAAACCUCUUUCACCAGGGACGAAGCGUGAGUGACGGUACCUGGAGAAGAAGCACCGGCCAACUACGUGCCAGCAGCCGCGGUAAUACGUAGGGUGCGAGCGUUGUCCGGAAUUACUGGGCGUAAAGAGCUCGUAGGCGGUUUGUCGCGUCGUCUGUGAAAUUCUGCAACUCAAUUGUAGGCGCGCAGGCGAUACGGGCAGACUUGAGUACUACAGGGGAGACUGGAAUUCCUGGUGUAGCGGUGAAAUGCGCAGAUAUCAGGAGGAACACCGGUGGCGAAGGCGGGUCUCUGGGUAGUAACUGACGCUGAGGAGCGAAAGCGUGGGUAGCGAACAGGAUUAAAUACCCUGGUAGUCCACGCCGUAAACGGUGGGUACUAGGUGUGGGGCUCAUUUCACGAGUUCCGUGCCGUAGCUAACACAUUAGUAC